rnacentral:rRNA from 1 species
AGUGAACGCUGGCGGCAGGCCUAACACAUGCAAGUCGAACGGCAGCAGAGAUAGUGCUCGUGGAUUCAGCGGGGGACGAGGGGGUGAUACCUGGAUACAUCCCUGGCGGUACGGGAGGACGGCCGGACGCAGGGGCAAUUACCGCAUCAGUACAGAGGGAGAAAGGGUGGGAUCAUGGGAACUCCGGAUAUCGGCUGAGCCGAGGUCGGGUUAGCUGAUUGGUGGGGUAGAGGGCUACCAGGGCGACGAGCCGAAACUGGUCUGAGAGGAUGAGGAGGCACCCUGGAACUGAGACACGGUCCAGACCCCUACGGGAGGCAGCAGUGGGGAAUAUUGGACAAUGGGCGCAAGCCUGAUCCAGCCAUACCGCGUGUGUGAAGAAGGUCUUCGGAUUGUAAAGCCCUUUAUGUUGGGAGGAAGGGCAGUAAGUUAAUACCGCGCUGUUUUGACGGUACCAACAGAAUAAGCACCGGCUAACUUCGUG